AGCCAACACUGAGAAAAAUUAUAACAGAUUAUUUUCUGCAUCUCUCCCAUCCAUGUAAGCAUUAGUGGGUGGUAAUCAACAAUCUCAUUACUCACCAUCUCUUCCAUCCGCCAUUGCUCAUCACCACCUCCAUCACCAUCCCUUUUCAGAUCCGUCUUCACCGGAGUCCCCACCACUACUGUCAAGUUUGUCCUCUCUCGAUCUCUCUUUCACCUUCCUCUCAACUUCAAAUCGCUUUUUGUGUAUUGUAUAAGCUCCAUGAUUAUCGAGACUCAUGAGAUUGCUCAGUUCGUCGCGAACCUUGCCAGUAGUUAACCGAUGAAGAUGCUGAGAUCAAGCCUCAGGGUUUUAUUCCCGGGUCGAAUCCUGGACAGCACAAUGAACAUAUGAACCGUAGAGCAGGCAUUUAUGCAGUUCAUGUUCUUCAGUUUGGAGGACAUGUGGCUGAUCUUCCCUCAAACUAUCUCAUCCCUCUCACUAACAGUGUUCCCACGUAAGUACUUGUGUAGUGUAAUACCUUAUUGAUCGAGAAUAAUCAUAUUCAUUUGUGAAUUGGUCUAGCUAGAAGAAUUGUGCAAUAAUUUGAUCCCUUUAGUUUCAAGUCACUGGUGGUGUUGCUUUUCAGAUGACUUGGUGUUAGAGAAGUAUAGGUUUGGUAUUGAAUCAUAUUCGUUGGUGCCACAAGUUGAUCCCUUUUCUCAUUGGCUUGCAAGCAGUAUCCAAACCAUUGUUUAGGGUCUAAUCACUGGUGGCUGUUGUUUAAACUUAUGAUUAGAGCUGAUCAAUAAGGCAAGCUUUUGCGACUCAGUGCUGUACCACAGGACGUGCUCGUGGCUUGUGUUUCGUCGUCUUUGCUGAUCUUGUGUUGCAGAAAGAGUCACUGUGGAGAAACACACCAUCGAUGGCCGCACGGUUGAGGCAAAGAAGGCUGUGCCUAGAGAUGAUCAGAGGUGCUGAAACGACACACCAUUCCUAUACACCUUAUGUUACCUCUCCAUGGUGGUGGUGGCAACAUGACAAAGGAUCUGUGUAGGUGGUUUACCGUCUAACAGUACAGAGGAGGUGUUAUCCAGCUCCUUCUAUCUCUAGCAGGUUCGGUUUUGGCGCUACAAACUACUUGUCUCAUGGUUCUCGGAUGUGUGGUAAUUUGUAAGUUGUGCUUGGUAUUAGAAGUGAGAUGUUCUUUGGUUGGUUUGUGAAGCUUUGCUCCCUGCUUUUGAUUUUAUCACUGGGUUUGACGAUUAGUCAAAGUCACAAUGAGAAUGAGGUUUUAGUCUUGCUCGAUGGUGUUUAAGUUUUUGUACACUCAGUUGUGUAUGUGGAUGCUCCCAAGAAUGUGGAAUAGAUUCUUAGCUUUCUUUUGGUGUUGUUUGGUUUUGCAAAUCAAGAGGAGCAAAGCAGUUUGGGGAUGACGAUUACUGGUUUUGCAGAACAACUAUACACCGAUCUGAGAAGUAUUAUUUUUUCAA